rnacentral:rRNA from 1 species
GACGAACGCUGGCGGCGUGCUUAACACAUGCAAGUCGAACGGAAAGGCCCUGCUUUUGUGGGGUGCUCGAGUGGCGAACGGGUGAGUAACACGUGAGUAACCUGCCCUGGACUUUGGGAUAACUUCAGGAAACUGGGGCUAAUACCGGAUAGGAGCUCCUGCUGCAUGGUGGGGGUUGGAAAGUUUCGGCGGUUGGGGAUGGACUGGCGGCUUAUCAGCUUGUUGGUGGGGUAGUGGCUUACCAAGGCUUUGACGGGUAGCCGGCCUGAGAGGGUGACCGGCCACAUUGGGACUGAGAUACGGCCCAGACUCCUACGGGAGGCAGCAGUGCGGAAUAUUGCACAAUGGGCGGAAGCCUGAUGCAGCAACGCCGCGUGCGGGAUGACGGCCUUCGGGUUGUAAACCGCUUUCGCCUGUGACGAAGCGUGAGUGACGGUAAUGGGUAAAGAAGCACCGGCUAACUCCGUG